UACUGCAAAAUCUGUGCGGGUCUCCAACAGUCAAAACCAAAAUGACCUUUAAUUUUAUACUCCAAAGAUCCACACAGAUAUACUGUAGUUGCAUAGCGUUGCUCGAUCGCCAACAAAAAAAAAAAUGCUAAAAAGUUGACAGAUUUCAGAGCUUAGAUUGAUAGAUAGUUAGAUAGGUUAAACAUACCAAAAGGUAAAAAUGGAGUUUACCGAAGCUUAUAAGCAGACGGGUCCUUGUUGUUUCUCUCCAAACUCCCGUUACAUCGCUGUUGCUGUCGAUUACCGUCUCGUGAUUCGUGAUACGCUCUCUUUUAAGGUUGUGCAGUUGUUUUCAUGCUUGGAUAAGAUAAGCUAUAUAGAAUGGGCAAAUGAUUCUGAGUACAUCCUUUGCGGUCUGAAUAAAAGACCGAUGAUACAAGCAUGGUCAUUGACUCAACCUGAGUGGACAUGCAAAAUAGAUGAAGGUCCUGCUGGUAUUGCAUAUUCUAGAUGGAGUCCUGACAGCCGGCAUAUACUUACCACUUCAGAUUUUCAGUUGAGAUUAACAGUUUGGUCGCUUUUGAACACAGCAUGUGUUCAUGUCCAGGGGCCAAAGCAUUGCUCUAAAGGGGUUUCUUUCACUAAAGAUGGGAAAUAUGCUGCGAUUUGUACGAGGCGUGAUUGCAAGGAUUAUGUAAAUCUACUGUCAUGUCAUACAUGGGAAAUAAUGGGUGCGUUUGCUGUUGAUACAUUGGACUUAGCUGAUAUAGAGUGGUCGCCGGAUGAUAGUGCUAUAGUAAUAUGGGAUGCACCACUUGAAUUCAAGGUUCUAAUUUACUCCCCAGAUGGGAGAUGCCUGUCCAAGUAUCAAGCAUAUGAAAGUGGACUGGGUGUAAAAAGUGUUUCGUGGUCGCCUUGUGGCCAAUAUCUAGCUGUGGGUAGUUAUGAUCAGAUGUUGCGAGUUUUGAAUCACUUAACUUGGAAAACAUUUGCUGAAUUCAUGCACCUAUCCACUGUUCGUGGUCCUUGUUGUGCUGCUGUUUUCAAGGAGGUAGACGAGCCAUUGCACAUUAAUAUGUCUGAGUUAUGCUUGAAUGAUGAGUUUCUUCAAGGAAAUUCUGAUGUCUCAGAAGGACACUUCAGAGUCAUGUACGAUGUUACUGAAGUACCUAUCAGUUUGCCUUUCCAGAAGCCUCCUGCAGACAAACCGAAUCCUAAACAAGGCAUCGGUCUUAUGUCAUGGAGUAAAGACAGCCGAUAUAUUUAUACACGUAAUGAUAGCAUGCCAACUGCUCUGUGGAUAUGGGAUAUACGCCAUCUAGAGCUUGCUGCCAUCUUGGUGCAGAAGGAUACCAUACGAGCAGCAGCAUGGGACCCAACAUGCACACGUCUUGUUCUCUGUACUGGCAGCUCUCACUUGUAUAUGUGGACCCCAUCAGGUGCUUACUGCGUGAGUAAUCCUCUACCACAGUUUAACAUAACUGAUUUGAAAUGGAAUUCAGAUGGAAGUUGCCUCCUCCUCAAAGACAAGGAGUCGUUCUGCUGUGCGUCUGUGCCCUUAUUUCCAGAAUCUAGUGAAUAUAGUUCAGAUGAUUGAGGCAUGUCUCCAUUUUUUAAUCCAGGUUGGCUUGCAAAUUUAACAAAAAAAGUUUGGCCAGUCUCGGGGUGUAUGUGUGUCAAGACAAUGGCAAAACGAAUGAAACUAUGGCAAACGACAUUUAUACCGUGUCAAGACAAAUCAAUAACGGAAGUCAAAUAAAUACUAACAUUUGUUGAGUUUCUUGGAAUCAGCUAUCCCUUGGCGAAGCUGCAAGUAAACUGUGAUAGAAACAAAGCAAGCAUAUACCGACUGCAUGCAAUAAACCCUACCAUACACGGCAUUUUUUUAUGAUAUAUCACAGCUUUGUAAUUAGAAAGUUCUCGUCAAGUUUUGAUACCACCAAACAUUACAAGCUGACUAAAACUUCCCAGAGGUUUUUUUUUUUGCUCUCUGUGUCACUAUCUUCGUUUCAAGUUCAAUGAGAGACGUCAAGAAAUGGAUUCUCUCGUAAAUGCCCUGUCUGCAAACGGCAAGCUGGCUUACGAAUUGUAAAUGCAGGAUGCAAAGAGUUUAGCCAUAUCUUAGACGAUACUUAACUGCAUGUGACAAAAGUAAUCUGCUACUGAACCGAUGCUUUCGGCUUCUUGACCUGAAGUGUUUUUAUCAGUAAUAGAAAUUAAAAGAAUCCACUGGCUGCAUGCAUCAAUGCUCCUCAUUUUCAAGAA